rnacentral:rRNA from 1 species
UACAGAGGGGGCAAGCGUUGUUCGGAAUUACUGGGCGUAAAGGGCGCGUAGGCGGCCUGCUAAGUCGAACGUGAAAUCCCCGGGCUCAACCCGGGAACUGCGUCCGAUACUGGUGGGCUUGAAUCCGGGAGAGGGAUGCAGAAUUCCAGGUGUAGCGGUGAAAUGCGUAGAUAUCUGGAGGAAUACCGGUGGCGAAGGCGGCAUCCUGGACCGAUAUUGACACUGAGGAGCGAAAGCCAGGGGAGCAAACGGG